UGUGCCUCUCUAGUGCCUCAUCAGAGCAGUCUGGGAGAACCCGUUUACUCCCCACCCCUGCUUGCAGACAGUACCAAGUGCAUCCUGUCUCACCCCAGCUGUUUUCCCUUUCACACCCACUGCCAGCUGUAGUGAGUUUUCCCACUUUCCUGCCUCACACUCCCUUGCUAGCAAAACAUGACCUCCUCCCUCGUUGUUAGGAAGGGAACUUGGUUUCCCACAUCUCCAGAGUCCUUGCUUCUGGGCCACAGCAGAAGGAAGGCAUCCCUCUCAUCUGAGGCCACCUCUGUCUCUCUCUUCUCAUCCAUUCCUCUGACACUCUUACUGGAUCUUUGCUCCAUUACCAUUUCUCCUUUCCUCUUAUUCCCUCCCUUCCCCAGACUACUCUUCCUCAGCAACACCCAGUCUGCCCUUGUACUAAAAAGAAAGGGGCUUGGCUGCCUGACUGCCCCCACUGAACACUGUCCAAAGGGGGCCCAGUUAUCCUUGCUAUCUACACUCCCUCCCAUAUUUCAAUUCUUCACCAUCAGCUUCCCAACCUACCCUUAAGAAGAAGCUGAAUAUGACAAUUUAUUUUCAGCCUUCAUCUUGCUAGUACAAUGAACACCCUCUAACUAGACUAAGCAAUUAAUAUUUUGCCUUAUUUAAUUUUUUGUCCCUCUCCCCCAAACAUGAAUUGCAUUUCAUCCAGAAGUAUUUCAGUGUAUACAUCCUAAUUAGCCUCUAAAAUAGUCCCUAAUCAAAAUUCCCCAAUUGUCUCAGAAAUGUCUUAUCUUUUCUAAAAAAAAAAACAAAAAAAACAAAACAAAACACAGGGUCCAAUCAAGGUUCAUUCAUUACUUUUUGAUUAUAACUUUGUCUCUUUUAGUCUAGAACAGCUCCCUUAUUUUUUUUUUCCAUGAUAUUUUUGAGAGUCCCAGCCAUCUGUCUUAUAGAAUGUCCUUUAUUCUGGGUUUGUCUGAAUGUUUGCUUAAGCCAAUUUAUGUACUCAUUCUUGGCUCAUCUUCCUCUGUGCCAGUGACUCCAGACUACCUCCAGCCUUGAGUGUUCUUCCCAGUUCUGUCCUUCAUGUCCAACCCCCUGCUGCAUGUCUCCACCUCUACUUGUAUAUCCUGCCACUGCUGAUGGAAAGGGCAAAUCUAUUCAGUUCCACAUUCCCACCCCUUACCUAAUAACUAACAUUUACUGGGCUCUUAAAAUGUACAGGUACAUACUGCCCACUACAUGCAUUACCUCACUUUAUUCUCAUAGCAGCUCCCUGAGGAGGGAUUAAUACUACGCCCAUUUACAGCUAAGGAAACUGAGAUACAGAGCUGUUAAGCGGCUUCUACAAGAUCAAAGCUGGUAAGUAGUAGCACUGAGAUCCAAAUCCAGUUCCUACAUCCAGAUGUGCUGUUCCUAGAUGCUGUAUUGUCUUCCUUGCAAGUCACUGAGCUGACACCAAGUUUCCUCCCUCUCAUUCCAGGUAAUGCUAUCAGUGACGUUAACACUAACAUUCCCCAUGUACCAGAGCUGUGCCAAAUGCUUUACUAGAAUAACUGCCUACCAUGCAGCAACCCCAUGACAUAAUUAAUCCUAUGCCUAUUUCACAGAGGAAGAGACAGGCUCAGGGAGCUGUAAUGUUGAGACAGACUGGGAUUUGAAGUCAGGUCGCUGAGUCCUAGGUCCCUGAUCUACUGGGUCUAUUUCUACAAAGUGUCACACCUAUCUUCCUUCUGAUGCCACCUGCCAAGCUCAAGCCUCAUUCAUUCCUCUGGGGUUCAUCUUCCCAUCCUUGUCUUUCCCAACUGUCCCCUUCCUAACACUCAACUUGACCAACGGAACUGUUCUAAGCCAACAUUGAUUAUAUCACCAUUCCUGCUCAAAGGCCCCCCCAAAUCAUCCAUUAUCAAUAAGCUUCGACUUUGUAGCCGGACAUUCAAGUGCCCCCACCCUGAUACCAGUCUUAUCUGUCCCUUCCCUUACCUAUACUAUAUGCUCCAGCCCAACCGGACUCCUUAUUCUUCCUCACAUGCCCUUGUCUUGGCACAUCUAUGCCUGUUUGCCUUCCCUCCACUUAAAAUGCCCCUUCAAUCUCUGAAUAUGAAGAAUUCCACCCAUUUUCAAAGACGAAGCUCCAAUUUGAUUACCUGCAUGAAGUUUUCCUUGAUUACUCCUAAUAGAUGAUUCUUUACUCCUCUGGACUCCUCAGCAUUUUAUAAUCUCAUAACACUUAAAACAGGCCAUCAUCUGGCAUAUGACUCUAUGGGUUCUUGUCUUCCCUCUCCUGCCAGACCCUGAGCCCUUGGGUUAUCCUUCUAUUCCCAUAGUGCUUUUCAUGUAAUAGCUGCUCAAUAAAUAUCUGAGGCAUUGAAUUCAAUUUGUUGAGUUUUACAAGUUAGUCUUCCCAGUUAUUAAGACAAUUAUUCAUUUAUCUUUAAUUCUGAGUAGAAUUCACAGCAGAAAAAAAAUAGCCUAGAAAGAAACAGCAGUAAUAAUUUUUAAGCUGUUUAGUCAAUAAAGGUUUAGUAAAUGUCCAUUAUUGCACUGUUUGAUUGGAAUCCAAAUUAGUAUGUCAUUACUAGUAUGUCAUUAUCAGGAAUGUUUUUCUUAAAAUGUUUUUCAUUACACAAGUAACACAAAUGCAAUGCCCCAACCUAGGAAGAAAUCAGAACAACAUCCUCCAAAGUCCUGUCACCUUAGUAAAACUGCUAUAAACAUUUUAAUGUAUUCUUUUGUCUUUCACAAUCUUUACAUUAUCCUAACAAUAGUAUGCUAUUUUUAUUAAGUACUGAAAUAUAACGGCUUCAUGUGGAUGUAUAACUUCAGCUAUUAGAGGAAUUUGAACUUUUUAGAAGAAAGAAACCUAUAAAUGUUACUCUUCUAUUUCACCAGCUGUUAGAACCACUAAUAUCGGCAAAGAUUGACUUUCAGAAUCUCUAAGUGCUCCCUCAAGAAAGAAGACGAAUGGGAGCACCAACAGCCUCUGUUUCGGGGACAGGGGGCAUAGUUACCCUAAUAACUUAGUGCUGGCUGUGGGAGUUAAGCAAAGAGAUUUGACUUUCUGUUUUCUAUACUUCUGCAUUGUACUUUUUUAUACCAAGCAUGAAUUACUUUUAUAAUCAAAAGUGAAAUUAUUUAUAUUUCUCAAAUGAGAAUUCCUGACCAUCAGCAUUCCACUUUCUUAGGUAAAAUAAACAAAACCCAACACAAGGACUGAUGUAACCCCCACUUUUAGAAAAGCCUAGAGAGAAAUGCAGCCCUUGUCCAGCCUAACACUAUCAUUUGACAGGAGAGAAAAAUGAGCCCCAGAGUGGCUUGCUCACUACCAGGAGUUAGUGGCUAUGGUGGUUCACCUGACUCCAACCUCAACAGAUAUUGUGCCUCUUUGGCCUUAAAGACUUCUGCUGGCACAUCUGUCAAAGCCCAAGGGCUGUCAGGACCAAUAAGUCAAGCUGGACUCCAGAGAACAUAGAGAUGGGUUAUGGGGACUGCACUGGUCUCUCUGUCUGCGACACAGUUGGCUCACAGAGUUAUUGCUGAUGCAUGACAGUCGAGGUGGGUUAUGGCGACUGCACUGGUCUCUCUGCCUGCGACAGUCGGCUCACAGAGAGCUGUCAUUGCUGAUGGGUGACAGUGACACACCUCACCUCGAUCAGCAGGGCUUCCCUGACUUCUGUCACUGGGCUUGCUAAUAGUGCCACCCAGGCAGCACACAGUGACAAGGUGGAUGGCUGGACUGGGGAGGCAGAAUGCUCUGAACCUAACUCCUGAACUCCUGCCAUGAUGUAAAGUGAUCAGUCACCUCUUUAAGUUAAAAUUUUGCAGAGAGGAGGGGGAAGCAAAGCAGGGUCCUGACAACCGAAGUUAAAACAGCUAGAACCCUUAUUAUGCACCUAAGCUGUCAUCCCUGGAGCUGGAGAGGGAAGAGCUGGUUUGGGCUGACUUUCAAUUUUAAAUAGCUGUCCAUGUCUUAAACAUCUUAGAAGGGAUUCAUAAAAACUGGGCUUUUGUUUUGCUGCCACUCAACAGGGAAUUCUAUUUCUAAAGGUUUGAACUUCUUACCUUUCCACAACCUAAAUCUGCUUGUCUGCAAAACGGAUGAGGUGAUCGUUAAGGUCCUCUUUGGCUCCAACAUCGUUAGGAUUACAUGAAAUACAGUUUAACAUCCACUGACCUUAGAGUCAAUGAGUUGCUUGGUUUAACUGGAUUUUCUUGUUCACUGAAAAUUUAGAAGUAAAUGUUCAAAGUGACAGUCUCAAAAAUAACAGGAGUGUGUUAAACUUCUUCCAUAGUACUGAGGUACUGACUCCAUCAUUCACUCCCUAGAACUGACGAUGCGUGCAGCAGUAGUGAAUAUGCUCUCUUGUACCCCCCCUUUUGUCCUCAUGACACCCUGCAGGCAGAGCAAGUAUAACUGUCCAUAUUUUACAAAUGAGGCCACACACUUCAACAAGGUGAAGUGACCUGCUGAAAGACAACAGCACAUUGGAGGCUGGAGGUCAAUCCAUGGAUCCUGGUCAUACCUGGGCCAAAGAGUUGCACUUCCUCCCAGCCUUCCCUCGUGGCCCACCUCUUCACCACUGCUAUCCUGGCUGGAGUGCCUACUGACACUUGGGUUGACGUUGGCUGCUUUCCAUCCACAAGCUCUGGUACUGGGGGUAAGCCAGACCUUCAAGAAGUGAGGCUGGCCAUUCUAUUAGUUUGCUAUUGCAGAUGUAAAAAAUUACCACAAACCUAGUGGCUAAAAACAACACAAGUGUAUUAUCUUACAGUUCUUCAGGUCAGAAUUCUGAAACUAGACUCAAUGUCAGCAGAGCUAUGUUCCUUUCCAGAGGCUCUAGGAGAUGUUUUUUGGCCUUUUUCGGCUUCUAGAGGCUGCCCACAUUCCUUGGCUUGUAGCCCCUUCCUAUCCUCAAGGUCAGCAAGGGCCAUUCUUUCUCACAUUGCAUCACUCUGCUACCCUCCUCCACAUUACAUGGACUCUUCUCCUUAUUUUAUGGUCAGCUGGUUAGCAACCUAAUUCUAUCUGCAACUUUAAUUCUUCCCUGCCAGGUAACAUAUUGAUACUUUCCAAGGAUGAGGACAUAGACAUUUGCUGGGGGGCAAGGGUGGGGGAUCUAUUAUCUGCCUACCACACAGCAUUAUCCUGCCUUGCUUAGGUUUGCAGGUAUGUGACAAAGGCAAAGUGCUUGAUGGGGAGCCACUAUUCCCCAGAAAUCAAUACUUUGAUGGGGGUCCUAAUCCUCCCCUCCUUGUAAAUCUGCCUAGUGCAGGGAGUGCUCAUAGACUUUUCUGAGACAGAUACCUGCAAGGUGGGUGUGAAGGAUGCCUCUGGGGGGAAAUCAGAGGCCUCCAUAGUGUCAAGAACUAAAUAUUUAAGUAUCUGUGCACUAACUAGGAUCUGGUUGACAAGGAAGGUCAGGUGCUGAUGUGUGAGUUGUCAAGCCUUUGGAGUCAGAUAUGAAUUAAAAUUUAAGCUUCCCCCAAAAAAGAGAGUACCCAAAUAUUAUGAUUAAUAAACAUGUUGAAAUACAAUUAAAAAAUCCAAGCUUCCAACCAUGUAUGUUACAUGUCACCUUGGCAACCCCCCUUAACCUCUCUGAAACCCAGUUUCCUCAUCAGUAAAAUGGGGAUAAUACAGACCUUACAGGGUUGUCACAAUGAUUAAGAUAUUAUUUGGGUAAAUCUGACAAAUAGUUGAAAUGCAGGAACAAUGACUUCUUUUUCUCUUACUUAGCUGAAUGGGAGCUCAAAAUCAGUCCAAAGGAUCUCAGAAAGAGCAAGUUCCCUGGGAUGAUUCCUGAGAGCAGCUGCUCACAAGCCACAAAGAACUUCGGCUUCUGCAAGAACUUUGAAAUGAACAGAAACUGUUUUGGAUUAAUACUCUGGACUAUCAAGGCUUUCAUGUGACUACUUGGCCUUUAUACUCUACAAAUACCAUCUAAAAGUAAAGUAGGCUCCGCACCGAAUGUGGGGCUUGAACUCACAACCCCAAGACCAAGAGUUCUAUGCGCUACCAACUGAGCCCAACCAGGAGCCCCAAUCCAGAUUUCUGAACACAGUAUUAUAGCUACAGGUAUGUGGUUC